CACAGUGACCCCCAGGGCGGGCAGGGGAACUUCUGAAGCCAGACCUCAGAGGGUUGGCACGGUCAGUAAGGGUUGAGAUGGGGCUUAGACAGCAGGAAAUACCACCUGACCAAGCCAAGAGAGAACAACACAGCCAGAAUCUCUGUGGGGGACAACCUCAGAAUAUCUAAGGCCAGUAGAACUCUCGGGAACAUCUUGGAAACAAAACCCCUUGGGCAGUAUUUACAGAGAGAUCAAGGGAAUGUCUCAAGAAACCAGCACUAUGUUAGACUUCUUUGCUCCAAGGUCACCAGAUGAAACCUAGCCAGAUGGCUUUUGUUGGGCAAAGAAUGAAGACUAAGCACCAAGUAUAGCUCAAAUGUCCAUGUAUGUAAAGGAUGUCUCUUAUCUUUAUGUUUCCUCCGAAGACACACAGUUGGCAUAAGGCAACACUGUAACCCUUCUUUAACAACACAAAUGUAUAAGGAAACAUGCUUAUAAAUCAGGAGGAUGGAAAACCAUUGGGGGUAUUAGAAAACACUAGCAAAACAAAGCAGGAGAUAGAAAGAGAAUGCAGCAAGAAAAUGAAGAAGUCAAGAAAAAGAAAAAGAAAAAGAAGAGAGGGGCAAUCAGGAAACACUUUCCUCAACAUAAUAUGCGUCCUUGUAGAUGGGUUUUACCAUUGAUUCCUACUUUCUACUUUCAGGGCCAGAAGAUUUCAAACUCUCAUUAGGACAAUACAAUAGUAAGAGAGUCCCUUUCAAGAGACCCAGAGCAUUAAUCCACCUUAUUAUAUUUGUUUCAAAGCUAUACUGAAAUGUGCACAUUUGUGCUAGUUGUACUAGUAAGUCUCAAUUCAUCCUCUUAUAUUGUCAUGAAAACUUUUUUAUCUUAAUGAAAAAAAUUCUAAUACUAUGUGAACUUUAAUUGUAUUGCCAAUUUCCUUGUCAUAUUGUAUUCCCAUGGUAGAGUAUUAACACUGAUAUACUUUAACUGUGCUUCAUGUAUAAAUUUAUACACACAUAGGCAUAUGCAUUUUUUAAUGGGAUUUACCUGAGUAAUGCUAAUAGGGAGCCACACAUGUAAAUCCUUGUGCAUCGAAAUGAAAAUACAUCUCUACAUAUUCUCAAAUAAGGUUUCUUGGGGGUUCAUUUUAUGUUUGUGGGGAAUUCAUGUAUAUUUGUAACCAGUUCUAAUCAUCUAAAGGUCACAGAAUUUGGAGUAUUUUUUAAAUGCUCCUUUCUGUGGUGAACGAAUGGAACAGACUAUGUUCAGAUUUGUUGCCUUCUUCAUAGUCCAUUCCAACACAAGAUGCCUAAUUUUAAGGACAUUUUCCCCCUAUUUAAAAAAAUAAAUCAACUUUGUGAAAGAAAAAAUAUAUAGCUGCCAAGUAUAUAGAAGUUCAAAAGUUUUUCUAUUGCCUGAAAUAGAGAUGCAAGAAAUUACAUUAAAGUUUUAAACAGAAACAGAAGUUUUCAGUCGAUGUAGAUAAAAAUCUAUUAGAGAUAAAAUUGUUUUGACAAAAACUGUGUAAAUACAAUGCCACUGGCUGCAAGCCUAUUAUUGAAUGCAAGUGGAAAAUAAGAAUAGCACUCCUGAAGGGGCAUUGCU